rnacentral:misc_RNA from 1 species
CUGUUCGAGCGUCAUUAUGACCACUCAAGCCUAGCUUGGUAUUGGGGUUCGCGGUCUCGCGGCUCUUAAAAUCAGUGGCGGUGCCAUCUGGCUCUAAGCGUAGUAAUUCUCUCGCUAUAGGGCUCCGGUAGUUGCUUGCCAAAACCCCCCUAUUUCUCACGGUUGACCUCGGAUCAGGUAGGGAUACCCGCUGAACUUAA